GGGGGGUUCCUGUUCCACCUCCACCAACCUCAAAACGCGGGUGGAAGGGCAGUUUUGGGGGUGCAGGUGCCCCCCCUUGACUCCUCAAGCCCUCCCUCCCUCAGCUCCUGGCCUCGGCCAGUUACGACGACACGGUGAAGCUGUACCGGGAGGAGGAGGACGACUGGGUGUGCUGUGCCACGCUGGAGGGCCACCAGUCCACCGUCUGGAGCGUGGCCUUCGACCGCAGCGGCCAGCGCUUGGCUUCCUGCAGCGACGACAAGACGGUCCGCAUCUGGCAGCAGUACAAGCCGGGCAACGAGGAAGGUGAGGGCUCCUAGCCCCCUUCUUCUCUCCCUUGCCACAGGGCCGCUCGGAACCUGCCGGAGGGAAAAGAGCGGGCAGCGGGAAAAGCGGGCAAGUAGCCCUAACGAUUCUCUUGCCCGCCCAGGGGUGGCCUGCAGCGGCAAUGAUCCCACCUGGAAGUGUGUCUGCAACCUCUCUGGCUACCACACCAGGACCAUCUACGACGUGGCGUGGUGCCACCUCACCGGGGCGCUGGCCACCGCCUGCGGCGACGACGCCAUCCGGGUCUUCGAGGAGAGCACGGUGGCUUCCUCCUCCUCCUCCUCUUCCUCGCAUCCGCAGCAGCCCACCUUCAGCCUGGCUGCCCACGUCCCCCGGGCGCACUCGCAGGACGUCAACUGCGUGGCCUGGAACCCCAAGGAGCCGGGUUUGUUGGCCUCCUGCAGCGACGACGGGGAGAUCGCCUUCUGGAGGUACCAGCGCCCCGAAGUCUGCUGAGAACUUCCAGCUCCUCCAGAAUCCUCCCUUCUCCACCAGCCGGGGCCUUCGGAAUCCUCCCUUCUCCUCCAGCCCCUCCGGAAUCCUCACUUCUCCACCAGCCGGGGCCUUCGGUGCGGAGAAGGGGGCAGGGACGAUGGUGACCCACCUCUUCUGCCCCACGAGGUGGGACUUUGGGACGCCCAGGACCCAUCCCUGGGGAUCUGGGUGA
rnacentral:lncRNA from 1 species